AUGGACUGUUGCUGCCGCGCGUGCCGCCCGGAUCUGGCGCUCGCUUUCUUCGGCCGUCUCUUCAGGACGGGCCUGGAGGCAAACCAAGUCAUCUUCUGCACCCUCCUCAAGGGACUCUGCCACGCAAAGCGCACAGAUGAGGCUCUGGACGUGCUGCUUCACAGGAUGCCUGAGCUGGGCUGCACUCCCGAUGUGGUGGCAUAUAACACCGUCAUCCAUGGCUUCUUUAGGGAAGGCCAAGUAGGCAAGGCGUGCGAUCUGUUCCAUGGAAUGGCACAGCAGGGCGUUAUGCCCGAUGUGGUGACAUAUAGCUCGGUUAUUGAUGCGCUGUGCAAGGCCAGAGCAAUGGACAAAGCAGAGUAUUUCCUUCGUCAGAUGAUUGGUAAUGGUGUCGUACCUAAUAAUGUGGCAUAUAAUAGCCUCAUCCAUGGAUAUUCCUCUUCAGGCCAUUGGAAGGAGGCAGUUAGGGUAUUCAAAGAGAUGACAAGUCGGAGGGUUACAGCAGAUGUGCAUACUUACAACAUGUUUAUGACCUUUCUUUGCAAACAUGGAAGAAGCAAAGAAGCUGCAGGAAUUUUUGAUACCAUGGCUAUGAAGGGCCUGAAACCUGACAACGUUUCAUAUGCUAUUCUCCUUCAUGGGUAUGCCACCGAAGGAUGCUUAGUUGAUAUGAUUAAUCUCUUCAAUUCAAUGGAAAGAGACUGUAUUCUACUUGACUGUUGUAUCUUCAGCAUACUGAUUAAUGCAUAUGCUAAAUCUGGGAAGCUUGAUAAGGCAAUGCUUUUAUUUAAAGAAAUGCAGAAACAAGGAGUGAAUCUGCAUUCACAUAUUCAACCG
rnacentral:rRNA from 1 species